ACUGCUCUUUCACCCGCAUGUGUUAUUAACAGAUUGUGUUUGAGUUUAUGGUGAAUCUGUGUCGCUCACCUUCAUCUCCCGGGAGCUGCUGAAAUUGCCAUUUUGAAUGCUUUAUGUUAAUGUAAUGUAGUUUUCAGUUUUUUGUUUACUUCAACUUAAGACAUUUUCUGCUGCGCUCACAAAAAUUAAGAGAUUUAAAGAUGAUUGAUGGACACCAUUGCAGGUGUAGCCAUGUUUUUCCAAUAAAAAAUAAUGUUGGAAUGGAAGCGAUGCAUUGGGUGUUUUUUUAAAUGCUAGAUACAGGGCAGAAUGGCGAGUAGAGAUUCAGCCUCAGGGGGACCUCCGCCCUACCAAACCACUGAACCCCCCUUUGGAGAAGGAGUGAACCCCUGAAGCUUACAACUCGGCUGUCCGUCAUCUACAGACUGGAAGCAAUCAAGAUGUCAAAGGUGUCAAGAAAUGGCUGAGCAAACAUUUCUACGCAGUGCCAUCAAUGAGAUGUUGCCUGACCUUCCAGAGGCUUCAAAAGACAUUCUUGAGGAGACAUUACAGUCGAUUGGAGUGGAAACAUAUGAUGACUUCCAGUUCAUUGUUGAGGAAGACUUGCUGUCAGCAUUAAGACCAGAAAAGCACUUGCUGCUUGGAAAUUCAGAUGCCAGACUCCUGAAACCAGCAGGUCCUCAAGUAAUACUUCGCCAGAUACUCCUGCGUCACUGCAGUCUUUGUCCCCGCUAAGUGUGUCAUCAAACUCCUCCAGCAGCAACCAGACAUCUGAAGCAGACUGGGUGGAUACCUUUGAGAUACCAUGGGAAAAGUUCUCAGAGGAACUGAUGCAGUCAUUAGAGAGAGGAAAACGGCCAAGUCCAAAGAUUAGGAGGGAGAUGGUCAGGAUUGUGGUGUCUGAAAUGAUGCGAAAAAGUUCUUGCUUAGGUAAAAGGAGUUCUACAGAAGUUGCAAAGAAGAUGGUGGCAAAAUAUCCAAAAUCUCUACAAGAUGUAAUUGGCCCUGGCUAUCACUCACUAAUCAAACAACUGCAAUAUCGAAUUGAGAAUGUGAAGUGAUCUACAAUUCCAAAAAUAAGAAAGCAAAAGUGCUGCUUUGAAAACUCUGACACAGAUGAAAUUCCUCCAGAACAGAGAGCUGCAAUUCAGGACACCUAUGGGUGUAUCAGCUGGGAUGCAAAAUGCCUGCCACUAGGAGAAACUGCAGAAAGUCAGCAGCAGAAGGAGGACAAGCUCAAGAUGAUGUGUUGGCAGAAGGAGGCAAAUCCUGAGAAGAUGAAAUGAUUAACGAGGGCAACUUUCUACACACAGCACAAAGAUGUUAACCAGGGGAAAAGCAUUCGAGAUGUCUUGGAAGAGUGGCCACUUUUAUUUCAAGACAUUGGGAUGGCUGUACACUAUAAGGAACUCACUGGACUUGGACUGAAGGAAACCUUCAUGCGGAACAUGGAUAUGAAGGGGAAAAGACUGCUGAACUACAUGAACACUGUGUGAACAAAAACAAAAGGGUUUUCCAGGCUCAAGCAAAGUUGAAGAUGGUAAGGGGAGAGCUGGACGGUUACUCUGAAGAUGUUAAAGAGACGGUGCUACUUCAAUGAAAAGGAGGAAGCAAUGUUCUUCUGUGUGGAGGACACAUGCCUAGCUGAAGAAGUACAGAUGGAUAAUGUCUCCUUGACUCCCACCAUCAUCGUGUGUGGGCAAUUCUGCUUCCAUGCUAGACGGUUCAUGCUGAGUGUGGAUCAACAGAUUGGACACAACAAGAUCUCCUGCUUCAUUUCUGCCCUUUGCAUGAUGUUUGGGAGCUAUUAUUGCUUCAACAUUCAUUACCCAUCGGGUCUUGCGUCCACACUGGAGUUUCUGCAGAGGUAUGAGAUUUACCAAAAAAACCCAAAACAAUUAUUGUAGAAGAAAAGGAUGUAUUUACUUUUACAGAUGUAACCGGCAGAAUGGAGUAGCUGUAAGUGGGAGACUUUUACUUUGACGCUCAUAGAGAGCCUUUGAAAUCUCACGUUGGGUCCCAAAGUAUCGUUUGGUCUCAUUAGCGGUUUGCAGUACAUGAAUUGUAGCAUUCGCCAGGGCACCAUCGUCAAGUUGGCUGGUGAGGUCUAGAAGUCUGCAGUUACACUACGAGUGAAACUUUUGAAGCUUUGAAAUAUCACUCCAACAGUGAGGCGAAAUUACUAGCCUUCAACGUGCAUGGUUGUUGGUGAGUAGGCUAUGUAAUUUGAUUAAGGGUUUUGUAAGAUCUGAGUUGGUGAAUGCGGGACUGAUGACCGUAAUUGUUUAGGUAUAGCUGGUAUCCGAGAGAAGCCAAUAAGACGUAUGCGGUGUGCCCUCGGUGGUUUGUGUGGUCAGGUAUGCACACGCACACCACACACACACACCUUCACGCACAUUGAUGCUGUGUCAGUACGACAUUGUUUGUGUUAGGCAGUAAACCUUGCCAAAAUUGAACUGCGUUGUAGAUGCAAGCCGUACCAGCGGGGAAGUUGGGCCGGGAGCUGGAGUAAGCUAAUUGGCACGACGCCACCAUAGCGCAGGUAGGCCACGAGCCUUAAGAAAAAAACUUAACAUUUAGCACAUUCAGGACACAUUCUUUUGUAUUCAUUGUAUCAAUGUGUGUUUUAGGACGGUGUACAGUGGUGGCAGAACGUUAAUAGUCACUGUUUUGCUUUUAUUUGUUUUAUGUUUUUAUUAUUUUGUUGUUUUCUUGGAUCGUGCCGGUUUCCUUGGUUAGGAAUUUUACUGAGUGCCCAUCUAGCCUUGGCAUAUGCAGCUGCUCUAUACUACCCUUCUUUGUGAUUUUCUUUAUCCCUGUACUCUAAGCCAAGUUGCAUGUGUUUUGUGUUGACCAACCAAAUUAUUGGUGUUGCUUUUAUAAUAAAAAGAGAAUAUUAAAGAUUAAAAUUUUAUACUUUUAAACCUAUUUUUUAAUAAAGAAGUUGUACUUUCUCA